UUUAAUUCCAUUAAAUUCCAAAUUUUGUUUCAACAAAAACAAAAGCGGUCUGUUACUAAGACAAUUAAAACAAAAACAAACCUUACAUUAUGGCUGUUUCUUAGAAACACCAAAAAUGUUCAUUUAGUGUAGCAUAGAAUUAGACGUUUAUUUUAGUAACCUGUGACACACCUAAUACAAAACGGAAUUAUCUACAAUAAUACAGUAUAUUUAUGGUGAUGGCGAAAAAGUAGUACUUCGCUGAAAUACCCUCCUAGGAUUUUAUCGUUAAACAUUUACGAUGAAUCCAGCAGCGCAACGUGUACGUCAUGAUGGUUCCAGUGGAUAGAGCAAAUCCUUCGAGCAUAGAGCAUUUUAAAAAUGCCAAGAGCCCCGGAUUUGAAUCCCAUCUCCCCGCUACCGAAGGCACCUACAUCUGGAUGAUGGAAACCCUGGCCUAUCAUAACUG